rnacentral:hammerhead_ribozyme from 1 species
AUCCAACUGACGAGUGCCAAAUAGGUCGAGACGUGCUUCGAACUGGAU